CAGUAGCCACGGUAAUACGAAGGGUGCAAGCGUUACUCGGAAUUACUGGGCGUAAAGCGUGCGUAGGUGGUGGUUUAAGUCCGUUGUGAAAGCCCUGGGCUCAACCUGGGAAUUGCAGUGGAUACUGGGUCACUAGAGUGUGGUAGAGGAUAGUGGAAUUUCCGGUGUAGCAGUGAAAUGCGUAGAGAUCGGAAGGAACAUCUGUGGCGAAGGCGACUAUCUGGGCCAACACUGACACUGAGGCACGAAAGCGUGGGGAGCAAACAGGAUUAGAUACCCCAGUAUCCCUGUCUCUUAUACA
rnacentral:rRNA from 1 species